UGGGGAAUUUUGGACAAUGGGCGAAAGCCUGAUCCAGCAAUGCCGCGUGAGUGAAGAAGGCCUUCGGGUUGUAAAGCUCUUUCAGUCGAGAAGAAAAAGCUAUAUUAAAUAAAUAUAGCUAAUGACGGUAUCGAAAGAAGAAGCACCGGCUAACUACGUGCCAGCAGCCGCGGUAAUACGUAGGGUGCGAGCGUUAAUCGGAAUUACUGGGCGUAAAGGGUGCGCAGGCGGUACUGUAAGUCAGAUGUGAAAUCCCCGGGCUUAACCUGGGAACUGCGUUUGAAACUACAGAACUAGAGUGUAGUAGAGGGAGGCGGAAUUCCAUGUGUAGCAGUGAAAUGCGUAGAGAUAUGGAAGAACAUCGAUGGCGAAGGCAGCCUCCUGGAUUAACACUGACGCU
rnacentral:rRNA from 1 species